AUUGAACGCUGGCGGCAGGCCUAACACAUGCAAGUCGAGCGCGAAAGUUCUUCGGAAUGAGUAAAGCGGCGGACGGGUGAGUAAUACAUGGGAAUCUGCCUGGUAGGUGGGGGACAACGUUUCGAAAGGAACGCUAAUACCGCAUACGCCCUACGGGGGGAAAGGGGGGGAUCUUCGGACCUCUCGCUAUCAGAUGAGCC
rnacentral:rRNA from 1 species